rnacentral:lncRNA from 1 species
CACAAAAUCUAGUUUCAAGGGAAUUUAUCUUAUGACUAUAAAAUAGGGAUGGUUAUGUUUUUGGUGCCUCAAUAUCUCUUGGUGCCGGGAGACCAAUACAUUUUAAAACAGAAAUGUCAAGGGCAAGAUCUUACCAGGACCGAUAAGAUCUUCCAGCAUCCAAACAGGUCGUCUGCAUAAUGUUAGAAUAAUCUAGUCAGCAAGUCUCUGAUCUUUGAAAAUUUUCAUCCCUUUG